GGUGAAAUUUCACGUGGGGACAACUAAUUAUUAUAGUCUCAGAUGUGACUGUGCAAGGUCGUAGAUUGACAAUCUUGGCCUUGAUUGUUCAAAAUAUGUAAAACAUCAAUAGGAAGUAGUUGAAAAAAAAUUCAUCUCAAGUUUUUUCAUUGUUCCUGUAUCUGUUGUAAUUUUGAUGUGUUAUUUUUGACAAUAUUGACAAUAUUCAUUUUCUUGUCAAAAUUUUUAUUUUUCAAUUCUCUUAUUAUAUACAUCACAAAAAUGAGGGUCAAUA
rnacentral:misc_RNA from 1 species